rnacentral:rRNA from 1 species
AUUGAACGCUGGCGGCAGGCUUAACACAUGCAAGUCGAGCGAGCGGCGGACGGGUGAGUAAUGUCUGGGAAACUGCCUGAUGGAGGGGGAUAACUACUGGAAACGGUAGCUAAUACCGCAUACCAUCAGAUGUGCCCAGAUGGGAUUAGCUAGUGGGUGGGGUAAUGGCUCACCAGGGCAACGAACCCUAGCUGGUCUGAGCGGGUGACGGGCCACACUGGAACGGGGACACGGUCCAGACUCCUACGGGAGGCGACGUUGGGGAAUAUUGGACAAUGGGGGCAAUCCGGAUGCAGCCAUGCCGCGGGUGUGAAGAGGGCCUUCGGGUUGUAAGGCACUUUCCGUGAGAAGGCGUUACUCGCAGAGGAAGCACCGGCUAACUCCGUGCCAGCAGCCGCGGUAAUUC